GGUGUUAUAUUUAGCCAAAAAUGAACCAAAUUUAGCAGCUAGCGACAGUAGGAAGUGACGUCACCACACUAACGUCUCUCUGCGAGAUCAACAUGCUAACG